rnacentral:pre_miRNA from 1 species
GGAGCUCUAUCGCAGCAAACUUCCUCGGGUCAUGGCUGUAGUUUUUGAAAGCCCAUGGCUCGAGGAUGUUGCCUGUGAUGCAACUCA